rnacentral:misc_RNA from 1 species
AAGUCGUAACAAGGUCUCCGUUGGUGAACCAGCGGAGGGAUCAUUAUAGAGUUUUCUAAACUCCCAACCCAUGUGAACUUACCAAUCGUUGCCUCGGCAGAGGCUACCCGGUACCUUACCUUGGUGCGGCCUACCCUGUAGCGCCUUACCCUGGAACGGGCUACCCUGUAGCGGCUGCCGGCGGACUACCAAACUCUUGUUAUUUUAUGGUUAUCUGAGCGUCUUAUUUUAAUAAGUCAAAACUUUCAACAACGGAUCUCUUGGUUCUG